CACUUACACAAAAACACUGUCCAAACAUACUCAGUCUAAAUCAAUGCGGAAGUUAACUUCAUCAAUAGUCAUCGGCGCAAAAAGGAAGAACACACUAUCUAACAAAGUGGAUUGCAGAUGUAGGUGAUGGAAAUCUUGGGGAAGACAAUGGUGUUGAUUGCAAUAUAUUGAUUCCUUCAUCCUUUGUAUUGGAAAAUGAGGGCGAUCCCAUUAGACAAAUUGUUAACAGCACAUUUCCUGAUUACCGUUCUGGAAACAUGGAUGCAAGACAACUCGAGAGUAGAGCUAUUCUGGCUCCAACGUUAGAUGUUGUAGACGAAGUGAAUGAAUACAUGAACGGUAUGAAUCAAGCCUCAUCAAUAACAUAUUUGAGUUGUGAUUCUCUUUGCAAGUCAGAGACAAAUGUUGAUAUGCAAUCUGAGGUACACACAACAGAAUUUUUAAAUAGUUUGAGAUGCUCAGGGGUCCCCAACCAUUGUUUAACUUUGAAAGUUGGUACUCCAAUUAUGCUGCUGAGAAAUAUAGAUCACUCACUGGGACUUUGCAAUGGUACAAGGUUGGUAGUCACACAACUGGGAAAUCAUGUUAUUGAGGCACAAAUCCUAUGUGGCAACAACGCAGGUACAAAUGUGUUGAUACCAAGGCUAUCUUUGACUCCUUCAGA